GGUCCCGUGGUGUAGUGGUUAUCACGCCUGCUUCACACGCAGGAGGACGCCGGUUCGAUCCCGGC
rfam:Anisakis simplex genome assembly, scaffold: ASIM_contig0022201